GCUUUUGGAGACAGCACUGGAAGAAUGUGGUGAUGGUUUGGAUUUAGCAAUAAGAAGCUUGAAUCAGCUAUACUUUUGUUUGGCUGCAAAUAAAUCUGGUGUGCUGUCAAAAGCAGGUUUCCAAUCCCAGCCUGGAGGGUGAUAAAAUGUCCAAGCCUGAACUAUUUGUGAUAGCAAAACAUCCAGGUCAAAACCAACCAAGAGAUUUGUUUGGAAAAAAAAAAUCCAUAAAUACCAGUAUAUGCAAUGGUGUUCAUCAUUCAAUUGCAAAAUAUAAUUUAGAGUCCAAUUGCAGUUGGCUGCAAAGAUGUUAGUUGGUUGCUUGGCUUAUCAAGUUUAUCUUUCGAUGUACAUAAAUAUCUACUGUGGUUAGCAUAUCUAACUUUUGAAAUCUAGCUAACUUAUUACCAGAUUUUUGAACAUGUAAAACAAUAUAUAAUAUAUAAUGUAGCAAUGUAUAUAAACAAUGUUUCUAAAUUUAGUAGCAUUGAAUCAAAUGAUAUCGCUCAUAUUCCCGCAGCAUCGCGCGGGUUCACUUUCUAGUUAUA